UACGUAGGGGGCAAGCGUUGUCCGGAUUUAUUGGGCGUAAAGAGCUCGUAGGCGGCUUGUCGCGUCGGUUGUGAAAGCCCGGGGCUUAACCCCGGGUCUGCAGUCGAUACGGGCAGGCUAGAGUUCGGUAGGGGAGAUCGGAAUUCCUGGUGUAGCGGUGAAAUGCGCAGAUAUCAGGAGGAACACCGGUGGCGAAGGCGGAUCUCUGGGCCGAUACUGACGCUGAGGAGCGAAAGCGUGGGGAGCGAACAGGAUUAGAAACCCUAGUAGUCC
rnacentral:rRNA from 1 species